rnacentral:rRNA from 1 species
GACGAACGCUGGCGGCGUGCUUAACACAUGCAAGUCGAACGGAAAGGCCCUGCUUUUGUGGGGUGCUCGAGUGGCGAACGGGUGAGUAACACGUGAGUAACCUGCCCUUGACUUUGGGAUAACUUCAGGAAACUGGGGCUAAUACCGGAUAGGAGCUCCUGCUGCAUGGUGGGGGUUGGAAAGUUUCGGCGGUUGGGGAUGGACUCGCGGCUUAUCAGCUUGUUGGUGGGGUAGUGGCUUACCAAGGCUUUGACGGGUAGCCGGCCUGAGAGGGUGACCGGCCACAUUGAGACUGAGAUACGGCCCAGACUGCUACGGGAGGCAGCAGUGGGGAAUAUUGCACAAUGGGCGGAAGCCUGAUGCAGCAACGCCGCGUGCGGGAUGACGGCCUUCGGGUUGUAGACCGCUUUCGCCUGUGACGAAGCGUGAGUGACGGUAAUGGGUAAAGAAGCACCGGCUAACUACGUG